rnacentral:rRNA from 1 species
UCGUGGAGUGAUUUGUCUGGUUAAUUCCGAUAACUAACGAGACCUUAACCUGCUAAGUAGUGGCAGCAUAACUUGUUGUGCUCGUCUACUUCUUAGAGGGACUUUGUGUGUUUAACACAAGGAAGUUUGAGGCAAUAACA